GCUCAAGUGGCGGAAUUGGUAGACGCGCUGGAUUCAAAAUCCAGUAACUUCGGUUGUGUGGGUUCGAUUCCCACCUUGAGUA
rnacentral:tRNA from 2 species